GGUACUACUCAUAUGGACAAGCAAAAAUCACUUUGUAAUUAUGACUCAAAGGAUGGUGGAAUGGAUGAGAAAGAGCUGAACAUCAUGAAUUCAGUGUUGAACAGAAUUUUUGAGAGGGAGAACUAUUCUGAGGAAACCCCUAGGGAUUUUAAAUUAUCUAAGAAAGUUCAAAGCUCAAAUGGUACAGUUGAUCAUUUGCAGAAUGACAAGAAUCUAGUCAACCAAGAAAUGGUAAAUGAUGAUAACCUCAUUCUCAAUGUGGUGGCUGGUGCAAACGAUAGAAUGAUUAUGGUAAAAGAUCCAAUCCAGGAAGCAAUGACAGCUAUUCAGGCUAAUGAAGAUUUUGUUGACCAAGAAAUGGAUAACGAUGAUGACAACCUUAUUAUCAAUGUAGUGGCAGGAUAGAAACACUAUGUUCAAAGAUCCAACCCUGGAAGCAAUUGUAGCUAUUCAGAAUUCGCUAUCCAAGGAAUCACGACUUGCUACGGAUAAACAAAAGCAAGGAAAGACGAUGCCCUCAAACAGAAAGCGUAAAGCACCUUCAGAGGUAAAAGAUGGUGAGGCACAUACGUUGUUGUCUAAAGCUGAAGCAAAGCAGAGUUUGGAAGUCACACGAGAUAGCCAACUAUUAAAUAGAAGUGCCAAAUUGCCAAAGAAGUCUCCAUGGAAAGAUCUUGUUAGUGCUAGUAGUGGUGCUUCAUUCAGUGUAUUGGAUAUUUUGCCGAGUGCUAUUCCUGGUACAGAGAUGCAGUCUGGUUCUAAUGGUGUUAGUGAGUUCUCCUCCGACGAAAAAGAUGAAGUAGCAAACCAUGAGAAAGUAUCCGAUCACCUUGAAGAGCCGGAUAAAGUUGAAUCUGAAGAUGA
rnacentral:misc_RNA from 1 species